rnacentral:rRNA from 1 species
UACGUAGGGUGCAAGCGUUGUCCGGAAUUUAUUGGGCGUAAAGAGCUCGUAGGCGGUUUGUCGCGUCUGCUGUGAAAACUCGGGGCUUAACUCCGGGCCUGCAGUGGGUACGGGCAGACUAGAGUGCGGUAGGGGAGACUGGAAUUCCUGGUGUAGCGGUGAAAUGCGCAGAUAUCAGGAGGAACACCGGUGGCGAAGGCGGGUCUCUGGGCCGUAACUGACGCUGAGGAGCGAAAGCGUGGGGAGCGAACAGG